rnacentral:rRNA from 1 species
UACAGAGACUGCAAGCGUUGUUCGGAUUCACUGGGCGUAAAGGGUGCGCAGGCGGCCAAGUGUGUCAGGUGUGAAAGCUCGAGGCUUAACCUCGAAACUGCGCCUGAAACUAUUUGGCUAGAGUACUGGAGAGGGAAGUGGAAUUCACGGUGUAGCAGUGAAAUGCGUAGAUAUCGUGAGGAACACCAAUGGCGAAGGCAACUCCUGGACAGUUACUGACGCUCAGGCACGAAAGCGUGGGGAGCAAAAGGG